AUUGAACGCUGGCGGCAGGCCUAACACAUGCAAGUCGAGCGAGCGGCGGACGGGGGAGUAAUGUAUGGGGACCGCCCGUUAGAGGGGGAUAACAACUGGAAAAGGUAGCGAAUACCGCAUAAUAUGGGAUUACGCAUAGGGGAUUGGCUAGUAGGUGAGGUAAUGGCUCACCUAGGCGACGAUCCCUAGCCGGGCUGAGAGGAUGAUCAGCCACACUGGGACUGAGACACGGCCCAGACUCCUACGGAGGCAGCAGUGGGGAAUAUUGGACAAUGGGCGCAAGCCUGAUGCAGCCAUGCCGCGUGUAUGAAGAAGGCCCUAGGGUUGUAAAGUACUGUCAGUCGGGAGGCGUUACCGAAAGAAGAAGCACCGGCUAACUCCGUGCCAGCAGCCGCGGUAAUAC
rnacentral:rRNA from 1 species